GGAUUGGUGGCGUAGUGGUAACGUAUGUCGUGGGUUAACAUCGCUUCCAUGGCAAGUCCCAGGUUCAACUCCUGGUCAAUCUG